rnacentral:rRNA from 1 species
UGGGGAAUUUUGGACAAUGGGCGAAAGCCUGAUCCAGCAAUGCCGCGUGUGUGAAGAAGGCCUUCGGGUUGUAAAGCGCUUUUGUCCGGAAAGAAAUCCUUGGCUCUAAUACAGUCGGGGGAUGACGGUACCGGAAGAAUAAGCACCGGCUAACUACGUGCCAGCAGCCGCGGUAAUACGUAGGGUGCAAGCGUUAAUCGGAAUUACUGGGCGUAAAGCGUGCGCAGGCGGUUUGCUAAGACCGAUGUGAAAUCCCCGGGCUCAACCUGGGAACUGCAUUGGUGACUGGCAGGCUAGAGUAUGGCAGAGGGGGGUAGAAUUCCACGUGUAGCAGUGAAAAUGCGUAGAGAUGUGGAGGAAUACCGAUGGCGAAGGCAGCCCCCUGGGCCAAUACUGACGCUCAUGCACGAAAGCGUGGGGAGCAAACAGGAUUAGAUACCCUGGUAGUCCACGCCCUAAAACGAUGUCAACUAGUUGUUGGGGAUUCAUUUCCUUAGUAACGUAGCUAACGCGUGAAGUUGACCGCCUGGGGAGUACGGUCGCAAGAUUAAAAACUUAAAGGAAUUGACGGGGUCAUAGCUGUUUCCU